rnacentral:rRNA from 1 species
GACGGAGGGUGCUAGCGUUGUUCGGAUUGACUGGGCGUAAAGGGCGCGUAGGCGGUUUUAUAAGUUGGGCGUGAAAGCCCCGGGCUCAACCCGGGAACUGCGUCCGAUACUGUAAGACUAGAGGAUGGAAGAGGAAAGUGGAAUUCCUAGUGUAGAGGUGAAAUUCGUAGAUAUUAGGAGGAACACCAGAGGCGAAGGCGGCUUUCUGGUCCAUCACUGACGCUGAGGCGCGAAAGCGUGGGGAGCAAACAGG